UUUUGCCGUCUAAAGAUCUUUAUUAAUGAAAAGGAAUAAAAAAUCCAACAAAACAAAACAUCCAAUAUCAAAAAACAGAACCCCACAGAACAGGGCAAUCAUAGUUUGAAAAUCUUUCCAUCUCUUUCAUCUUCGCUUUUCCGCUUCAAGCCGUGAACUUAACCACGCCGGACCACCACGACUUUCCUCUUUUUUAAGAUCAAAAGUUCUUGUUUUGUCUAGUGCUGAUUAAACAAAAAAAUUAGUACAAAAGCCAAAAAUUUUAAAGUAGCCAAUAGACAAUAUAUAAAAUCUCAUUACGAGAUUCUAACAUCUACAUGGCUUUAUCAAAGAAAGUUGGAAAUACACUUGUAGCUUUUUUCAAAAACAUGGUUGGAUUAGUGAAUAUGAUCGUCAAGUUAGCCGAGUGUAACAAUAUUCACUUUGUUCUAGAGUUAUCAUAAAAACAGAUGAAUAAAACCUGGUGAUUGUUUUAUCGAAUUUGAAUUUAAAAGAAUUUUCAUUAUGUGAAAGACCUACAAAUCGCCAUAAACUAUUUAAAAUCCUUC
rnacentral:lncRNA from 1 species